CACUUAUUUAACAACGCAGUCUGUCUUUAUGUGGGCUGGAUACUGCAGACAGUUUAAUCAGCUGUACUUUUGAGCAACACAGGAAAAAGAAGAAGCUUUGUCUGCAUCUCAGAUUAAGAAUUAAACCAAGAAAAACUUACCAGGGUAUCCAGCAGCUUUGAUUCAAAUGGAUGCCAGAACCAGAUUGGUAAAGAGGCAAGUUCAAAUCCUGGAACAGCAGUCUAGGGAAUACUCCAGCACUCAUCAACAUGACUCUUCA